rnacentral:snoRNA from 1 species
AAGACUAUACCUUCAGGGAUAAUUUUUAUAGUUCAUUAGUAGAGAAGUUUCUCUGACCGUGUAGAGCCCCCAAAACCACGAGAAGGAGCCAGAGCAUCCUCUCCUGAGUGUGAAGCCGGUUCUAGGUAUUGCUUUCGCAAAUGCCUUUUACCACUGAUUAUUUUAUAGUUCUUCUCUAUCCUUGGAAAAGGGAGAGUGAAAGGGUGCAGUCUGAGUGG